AAUAAGAUGCCUGACAAAAGGGUUAUUUUGAUAGAAUAAAUCAUGUAAAUUUUACUCUUAUUA
rnacentral:tRNA from 2 species